GGAGAGUCUGUAUGUAUACGUUAUUUGUUCAUUUGCUUUGGCAUUAUGCUGGUUUAUAUAGCAGAGUGCUUUGAGAAAUAUCUCCAACAUUUAUUAUUUUUUUUUUUCUUUCAAGGGCUUACCAGGAGUUGAUGGCCGGGAAGGUAUCCCUGGAAUGCCUGGAGCAAAGGUAAGGCACAGCUGGCAUGCUUUUAAUUUAUGUAGCUUUGGUAAUGCCCUAGAUUUAUUCACUCAUUUGGGGCUUUUCAUUGUGCUGAUGCCCAUGGCUUUAUGCACAUUACUAGGGUAAUUAAAUGAACUUUCCCAUCCUCCAGUUCCAAAAGUACUUCAUCUCUGUGUUCCAGAAUUAAAGUUUUCCUUUAUGUUUGACUUGCAUAAAUUACAAGUUAAGAUGUUUUUCAGGGUGAACCAGGAAAACCCGGUGCUCCUGGUGAUGCAGGGCCUCAAGGACUGCCAGGUUUGCCAGGUUCUCCAGGUGUGAAAGGCAUUCCUGGUCCAAAGGGUAAUAGAGGUCCCCCUGGAGUACCAGGUUUAAUGGGAAAUUCUGGUAAACCGGUAAGAUCAUUAAUCUUAUUCAAAACAUAGAAAAGUGAAACGUUUUGCAUUGUGUGAGGAAUCACUUUUCGAAUUUGUUGCAUCAUUCCUAUUCCCAAAACAGGGUGAACAGGGGCCAGAGGGAGAAGCAGGUCCAACAGGACCCCGGGGACCACCAGGCAGCAAAGGGGAGACAGGUCCUGCGGGCCCUCCAGGUUUACCAGGGAAACUGGUAAGCAGUUUAUUUCCACAUUCAGUGCUUAUGUGUACUUUCAAGAGCUAUGGUAUCAUCUGGAACUACACUUAGCCAUUCAUCUAUGCAGGGAACUGAAAAUAAUGUUGAAAUGAGAGAUUGUUGAAUUUCUUUUUCAGCCCUCUGUGACCAUACUAAUAUUAGUAAAAAUUGUUUUGAAGUUUCAGGAACUGUGUGACUUUUUCUUCUGC
rnacentral:lncRNA from 1 species